ACGCUGGCGGCGCGGAUAAGACAUGCAAGUCGGACGAGACUUUUCGCUGUAGCAAUACGGUGGAAAGUUUAGUGGCGAACGGGUGCUUAACACGUGGGCAACCUGCCGAGAAGUGGGGGAUAGCUCGCCGAAAGGCGAAUUAAUACCGCAUGUGAUUAGAGAGGACAUCCUUUCGAAAUUAAAGUCGGGGCAACCUGACGCUUUUUGUGGGGCCCGCGGCCUAUCAGCUAGUUGGUGAGGUAACGGCUCACCAAGGCUUUGACGGGUAGCUGGUCUGAGAGGACGACCAGCCACACUGGGACUGAGACACGGCCCAGACACCUACGGGUGGCAGCAGUCGAGAAUUUUUGACAAUGGGGGAAACCCUGAUCGAGCGACGCCGCGUGGAGGAUGAAGGUCUUCGGAUUGUAAACUCCUGUCAUUGGGGAACAAGGUGCGUACGUUAACUGCGUGUGCAUUGAUAGUACUCGAAGAGGAAGAGACGGCUAACUCUGUGCCAGCAGCCGCGGUAAUACAGAGGUCUCAAGCGUUGUUCGGAUUCAUUGGGCGUAAAGGGUGCGUA
rnacentral:rRNA from 1 species